UACGUAGGGUGCAAGCGUUAUCCGGAAUCACUGGGCGUAAAGCGUGCGUAGGCGGAAGCUUAAGUGUGAUGUUAAAUCGUGUGGCUCAACCAUAUCGAUGCAUCGCAUACUGGGUUUCUAGAGGACGGCAGAGGCAAGUGGAACUCGUAGUGUAGCAGUGAAAUGCGUAGAUAUUACGAAGAACACCAGUGGCGAAGGCGGCUCACUGGCUCGACACUGACGCUGAGGUGCGAAAGCGUGGGGAGCAAACAGG
rnacentral:rRNA from 1 species